CUUUAACAAAACUAUAAAAAUUUCAAAUAUUUUGAACCAACAGUUUUAUCAGAAAAAUUGCACUGGUUAUAUAGCAGUUUGACAAACACCAAUUUUGAUCAUUGAGAAGCUUAAUAUUCCCUUUACAACACAACGUAAUUAAAACGUUUAGCUGACAUUACAGAGUUAUCUCCCUGUAGUGUUAGGUACCACCUUAAUAUUU
rnacentral:lncRNA from 1 species